ACGUAUGUAUGUGUAUUAAUUCUGAUGAUUUAAUCUGAAGGUGUUCAGAAUAAGUAAACGCAUUGAGCAGGGUUAACCAUCACAUAUGCCUACAUAAAAAUGUUAAAGUUGUGAUUUUCGGAAAAUCCUGUCUUUGGACAAGAAAUAGAAGAGAAUCUCUUCCAGGGUCCUGAAAGGACUACAUCAAAAUUGUAUACCAAAAAUUGGGGCAGAGGGACAGAAGAUACCAUAAUAACGGGCUUUCCGGAGAGACUUGGACAACUUCCUGCUCAGAGUAUUUUACUCUGUUCCCACUCAAUUCCAAGGCACAUGUCUUGAACCCAAGGAACUGUGCUGUGGUAUUUCACAACCAACCAUUCUCCUCUUACGCAUCUCUGGUGUUAAAUAGAAGCUCUCAGAUUCUAAAGAUGAGGCUGGGAUGCCCUAAAGGCAGGUGCACCUAAAGCAAUUGCAAAUUGUAUUCAAGAAAUGGAAAUCCAUUUCUGAAAUGCAGUCUCUUCUGCGUUGGGAUCUAAAAGGAGCAUGGCAAGAGUCCCCUGCAGGAUACCGUCUGUUCAUUCAAUAGGCAUUUAUUGAGUCCCCAUUAUGUGCUGAGCACUGAGCUAAGUGCUGAGGAGACAUUGGUGAAAAAGCCAGACACAGUCUCAACCCUUAGAGGGCUCAUGAUUUACCAGAAGAAACAAGACAUUAAAAAAUCGUUACAAAAUUGACUAUUUCAUUACAGUUGGGGGAAAUGGCAGACCCAUAGGCCAUUGUGAGAUUAUAUAACAGGGAAAUUUACGAUAUGGAAGAUCAGGAAGGACUCACAUAAGGAAAUGAGUUAAUUAAUUCAGGGUGAGGGGACAUCCCAGGCAGAGGAAACCCAAUGACAACCAAAGGUCAAGGGAAACAAGGAAUGAAAAAUAUGAGGAGUUUGUACUCUGUGUAGCAUUAGAGAGGACUGCUUAGUCUUGGAUCAGCAAUGGCCCACCAAUUGUCCUUCCUCUAGGUUUGAUAAAACCACUGGUUCAAGAAGCAGAAUGAACAUAAAUAUUGGCAGUAUGGCAAAGAACGAUAUACUUACAGGAGAAAAUAAUAGCAACUGCAGCUUGGACUGCAGAUGGUUUGGGUUUAUUUUACUCAAAUGUCUGGUAUUUUUCUAAAUUGAGCUGUG
rnacentral:lncRNA from 1 species